rnacentral:rRNA from 1 species
CAUAUCAUGUCGAUCAACCAUGGUAUUUGUCAGGCGGGUCACGAAUGGCACCCCGACAAAGUCAGCACGUGGCGGAAUUAUGUCCCACAGGUUGGACACCUCCUCCUCGCUCAGCCUUGUUCUUUGAGCUACGAUGGCUUCAUGAAGUGGGUCCUCAUCAUCUUCAUCGAGUGGGUCCUCAUUAUCUUCAUCAUCUUCGUCAUCUUCAUCAUCUUCCACCAGGUUGAGAUAAAUGACAGCCAGCUUGGGUCUUUCUGCUCUGAAGGAGAAGCUAAUCAACUCACCACCAGUAAGA